AACGCACCUUGCGCUCCUUGGUAUUCCGAGGAGCAUGCCUGUUUGAGUGUCAUUAAAUUCUCAAUCUCUACAACUUUGUUGUUAGCAGGUUGGAUGUGGGGGAUUGUGGGAUGUUUCAGUACGUCCCACUCCCCUGAAAUGAAUUAGCUGGAAUGCCUCGGCAAAUCCAACUAUCAGUGUGAUAAAUAUCUACUGUGGUUGUUGCAUGAGGGUAUCUGCUUCUCAACUGUCUGCAAAGACAACUUGAAUCAUUUUGACCUCAAAUCAGGUAGGACUACCCGCUGAACUUAA
rnacentral:misc_RNA from 1 species